rnacentral:ncRNA from 1 species
AUCUUAUAACGAGUGGUGGAGGGAAAGGCCCGAUGAAGCCCGGCAACCCACUGCAGGAGGGCAGUCCUGCAGGAAGGUGCUACGACCUGCAGCAAAAGCUGCGUGAUAAGAU